CGUGUAGGCUGCCAAGCAAGUCGGGUGUGAAAUCCCGGGGCUCAACCCCGGACGUGCACUCGAAACUGCCUGGCUAGAGUCUCGGAGAGGGAAGCGGAAUUCUGGGUGUAGAGGUGAAAUUCGUAGAUAUCCAGAGGAACACCGGUGGCGAAGGCGGCUUCCUGGACGAGUACUGACGCUGAGACGCGAAAGCGUGGGGAGCAAACA
rnacentral:rRNA from 1 species